rnacentral:snRNA from 1 species
GUAUGUCCACAUCUCCCCCAACAUCUGUCACCCCAUUGAUCACCAGGGUUGAUUUGACUGAUCUGGCUGGCUAGGCAGGUGUCUCCUUCCUCCCUCACGGCUCCAUGUGCAUCCCUCCUGAAGCUGCACGCUCAAUCAAAGAGGACAACCUUCUCUGAUAGAGACAUACUGUCCUUCGGUCAAGGGUAUACAGUAGCUGCGCUCCCCUGCUAGAACCUCCGAACAAACUAGACCCGGCACUGAAGAUUCUUCGCCAGUGCUGAACAGAAGGGAAGGAUCACCUCCCUUGACCUCCUGGUAAGUCUAAAGAG